ACGGAAGGCAGCAGUGAGGAAUAUUGGUCAAUGGGCGCAGGCCUGAACCAGCCAAGUCGCGUGAGGGAUGACGGUCCUACGGAUUGUAAACCUCUUUUGUCGGGGAGUAACGUGCGGGACGUGUCCCGUAUUGAGAGUACCCGAAGAAAAAGCAUCGGCUAACUCCGUGCCAGCAGCCGCGGUAAUACGGAGGAUGCGAGCGUUAUCCGGAUUUAUUGGGUUUAAAGGGUGCGUAGGCGGCGUGCCAAGUCAGCGGUCAGAGUUCCGGGCUCAACCCGGUGAUGCCGUUGAAACUGGUGUGCUCGAGUGCGUGCGAGGAAGGCGGAAUGCGUUGUGUAGCGGUGAAAUGCAUAGAUAUAACGCAGAACCCCGAUUGCGAAGGCAGCUUUCCAGCACGCUACUGACGCUGAGGCACGAAGGCGUGGGGAUCGAACAGGAUUAGAUACCCUGGUA
rnacentral:rRNA from 1 species